ACAAUCCACCACUCCUUUGGGGCCAACGUCCACGCUGGCACUCGUUCAUCUCCAAUCGAUGUGGGAUCUCAGAGCUUAACUUUCCUCUUUCCCACUCCCUCUAUUUAUAACCAAAAGCCGUAACAACUAUUCCUAAUUUCCUUCUAAUGCCAUUCCUAUCAGUAUGAUUUGAUAUUUUAAACCCAGAUUCUCCCAACAACUGUGAUUUAUUAAGUUCAAAGCUAGGAACUACAGUUUGGCUUUAUUGUAUUUGGUAGUAAGAAAUAAUUGUUCCAUCAAUGUUCAAAUCUUGGACUCUAAAUCUACACCUCUUGAGUGGCCCUAUCCAUGUUUUGCAUCUGUAUCUUGAUCACUGGUUGGAUUCACCCAUUGGUAACUGAAUCUCUUCAAGGAGUAGAGAACCAUAAUUUCUUUACUUUGUAAGCUUCGUUUGAUAACCUUUUUGACUUUUGGUUUUUUGUUUUUGAAAAUUAACUGUUCUAUCUAUCAGUUUCUUUGUUUUUUCAAAAUCCAAACUAAAAUUUGAAGAUUAAAUAGAAUAGUUUGUAAAAACUUGUUUUAGUUUUUGGAGUUUGGCUAAGAAUUCAAACGUUUUCUAAGAAAAAAUAAAAACAUACGGUAAAGAAAUGAUGAGAAAACAAGUAUAAAUUUCAAAAACAAAGAACAAAAAACGAAAAAAAUCAAAUAAUUAUGAAAUGAGACCUAAAUGAUUAGCUUUUGCCUUGUUACAUAGCUUGUUUUUCUCGUUUUUAUGCCUAUGCUGCUGUCAUAUUUUUCCUUUGCUAAAUAAGAGGACAUUGCCCCUUGAUUGUUUUGUAGAAAUCUAGGGAUAGGUAUUGUUCCUUACAGCCCCCUCGGUCGAGGCUUCUUUGCCGGUAAAGCCGUUGCGGAAAGUUUGCCUGCUGAGAGCCUAUUGAGCUUGCAUCCUCGAUUCAUCGAAGAAAACUUGGAGAAGAACAAGUGCUUUUACACACGAAUAGAGAAGCUUGCUGAAAAGCACCAUUGCUCUCCUGCUCAACUUUCUCUUGCAUGGGUUCUCCAACAAGGAGAUGACGUUGUUCCAAUUCCAGGCACAACCAAGAUAAAAAAUUUGGAGCAGAACAUCGGUUCCUUGACAGUGAAGCUCGACAAAGACGACCUGAACGAGAUUUCUGAGGCAGUACCCGAAAGCGAGGUAGCUGGAAAUAGAAAUUAUGAUAGCUUGAUGUAUGCAACAUGGAAAUAUGCUAACACACCUCCAAAAAUGAAUGACAUCUGAACCUGAGACAUUCAAAGGUUGGCAGCAUUUUUUAGUGCGCAGACUUCUGAAACUGGCUGAUGGGUUGAGUAUCCAAAUACCGAAGUGAAACAGGGAAAUCAAGGAAUCAAGGUAAGUCCCCAUUUUAAUUUUCCCGUUUCCAUUACAAAUUUUGUCGUAGAAACUGUUCUUGAUCGGUGGAAAUGGAAGCAUUAUAGUCCCUUAGGUUGACUUCUACAGCUAAACAGUCUGUGCUAAUCUUAUCAACUGCUAGGUUUUUGCUUACUCAGAUCUUGAAAAUGGUUGAGAGAAUUUAGUAAUUGGAAGGAAAACAAAAAUCCCUUCUAGUGGGGUUAACCCUUUAGUACGUACUAAAUAUUAUAUAUGUUCCAAUUUGAAGUGAAAGACUGUGAUGUAAGCAAUGAUGAAUAAG